rnacentral:rRNA from 1 species
GCAAGUCGAGGGGCAGCAUGAUUGAAGCUUGCUUCAAUUGAUGGCGACCGGCGCACGGGUGAGUAACGCGUAUCCAACCUUCCGUACACUCAGGGAUAGCCUUUCGAAAGAAAGAUUAAUACCUGAUGGUAUGAUGAGAUUGCAUGAUAGCAUCAUUAAAGAUUUAUCGGUGUACGAUGGGGAUGCGUUCCAUUAGGUAGUAGGCGGGGUAACGGCCCACCUAGCCUACGAUGGAUAGGGGUUCUGAGAGGAAGGUCCCCCACAUUGGAACUGAGACACGGUCCAAACUCCUACGGGAGGCAGCAGUGAGGAAUGUUGGUCAAUGGACGAGAGUCUGAACCAGCCAAGUAGCGUGAAGGAUGAAGGUCUUACGGAUUGUAAACUUCUUUUAUAAGGGAAUAAAACCUCCCACGUGUGGGAGCUUGUAUGUACCUUAUGAAUAAGCAUCGGCUAACUCCGUGCCAGCAGCCGCGGUAAUACGGAGGAUGCGAGCGUUAUCCGGAUUUAUUGGGUUUAAAGGGAGCGCAGACGGGUCGUUAAGUCAGCUGUGAAAGUUUGGGGCUCAACCUUAAAAUUGCAGUUGAUACUGGCGUCCUUGAGUGCGGUUGAGGUGUGCGGAAUUCGUGGUGUAGCGGUGAAAUGCUUAGAUAUCACGAAGAACUCCGAUUGCGAAGGCAGCACACUAAGCCGUAACUGACGUUCAUGCUCGAAAGUGUGGGUAUCAAACAGGAUUAGAUACCCUGGUAGUCCACACGGUAAACGAUGGAUACUCGCUGUUGGCGAUAUAC